rnacentral:rRNA from 1 species
GAUGAACGCCGGCGGUGUGCCUAAUACAUGCAAGUCGUACGCACUGGCCCAACUGAUUGAUGGUGCUUGCACCUGAUUGACGAUGGAUCACCAGUGAGUGGCGGACGGGUGAGUAACACGUAGGUAACCUGCCCCGGAGCGGGGGAUAACAUUUGGAAACAGAUGCUAAUACCGCAUAACAACAAAAGCCACAUGGCUUUUGUUUGAAAGAUGGCUUUGGCUAUCACUCUGGGAUGGACCUGCGGUGCAUUAGCUAGUUGGUAAGGUAACGGCUUACCAAGGCGAUGAUGCAUAGCCGAGUCGAGAGACUGAUCGGCCACAAUGGAACUGAGACACGGUCCAUACUCCUACGGGAGGCAGCAGUAGGGAAUCUUCCACAAUGGGCGCAAGCCUGAUGGAGCAACACCGCGUGAGUGAAGAAGGGUUUCGGCUCGUAAAGCUCUGUUGUUGGAGAAGAACGUGCGUGAGAGUAACUGUUCACGCAGUGACGGUAUCCAACCAGAAAGUCACGGCUAACUACGUGCCAGCAGCCGCGGUAAUACGUAGGUGGCAAGCGUUAUCCGGAUUUAUUGGGCGUAAAGCGAGCGCAGGCGGUUGCUUAGGUCUGAUGUGAAAGCCUUCGGCU